rnacentral:sRNA from 1 species
CUACCAAGGAGGAGGUGGCAGCCGCGAA